rnacentral:rRNA from 1 species
CAGAGGGUGCAAGCGUUGCUCGGAAUCAUUGGGCGUAAAGGGUUGGUAGGUGGUCUCAUUUGUCAGGGGUGAAAUCCUUGGGCUUAACUCAAGAAGUGCCCUUGAAACGGUGAGACUAGAGUCUUGGAGAGGGUCGCGGAAUACCCGGUGUAGCGGUGAAAUGCGUAGAGAUCGGGUGGAACACCAGAGGCGAAGGCGGCGACCUGGACAAGUACUGACACUCAACAACGAAAGCGUGGGGAGCAAACGGGAUUAGAUACCCUGGUAGUCCACGCUGUAAACGAUGGGUACUAGGUUUGGUGGGUCUUGACCCCCGCCGAACCGGCGCUAACGCAAUAAGUACCCCGCCUGGGAAGUACGGUCGCAAGACUA